AUCCGGUUGACGAGUCCUAAAUAGGACGAAACACACGUUGUGGAA
rfam:Schistosoma rodhaini strain Burundi genome assembly, scaffold: SROB_scaffold0000894